rnacentral:misc_RNA from 1 species
AAAUUAUCAUAUAUAAUCAAAUGCCGUAUACCAAAUGAACUAAUGGUAAUCCUAGAAAGAUUUUCUAGUGAGAGCUGGACUGUGAUGCUAACGGAUUCUAUCAACCAGACUAAUUGUCCUCUAGCUUUCAUCUCACAUUUGAGAUAAAAGAAACACCAGAACUGGAGAAAAAAAAGCUUACUCUGCUUUAUAGAACAAGUGACUGCAUAAGCUAAAAACAGAGGUUGACUAAGCAUGUAUGCCCAUGUAAAAUAACCUACAUAUUGAUCAGAAAAUCAAUGUAAAAGCGUGCAAAUGGUGUGUUUCUUUGCGGACAUAGAUUCAUCUCUUCUACAUCACAAAACAUAUGGUGAUGCUCUAUCAUAGAGAGCUGGCUCUGAAAGCUUUCAGGAAGGCAUGAUAGGAUACCACCAUAUCCCUUUUUUGCCAAUCAAAAAAUUACUCUGCUGUUAUGGUGGAAGUGAGCAAGCCUCUUUUUGUGGUUUUGGGGAAAGAAGGGAAGUGGUUUUUCACCCUUGCAGAGAUGGGGUAAGCACCAAGCAGCCUCCAUCAGAAUAUCACUGUUCCAAAAA